rnacentral:misc_RNA from 1 species
UGACCAGUGCGGCGAGAGAGAGAGAGAGAGAGAGAGAGAGAGAGAGAGUCGGCCCGCUGGGUGGCUGGAGGUCCUGAGCACUCAGGGCGGGUUUUCAGUGUUGUGAGAGCCGCCGCGGGUGAGUGAGUGUUGCUCGGGUGCGGGCCUGUGACGGAUCUUAUAUUGUAUGGGUUGAACUGACUUUGGACAUGAUAUGGUUACUCAUCACCUGAAAGUAACAAACAUUGUGCAUCAAAAUAAUUGUUACCCUAGAAAAGGUUGGACUCAAAGAUACUGUCUUAUCUGUGAUGCAAGUACAUAACAAUCCUAAGAUAGCUUGAAACUCCACACUCGUUUCACACAUCUCCAGUUCAGCUGUCCGUCCUGUCUACCAACACAUUUCAGACCCGCUGGAGUCCACAACAUUGAAAGUUGAAGUGAAAAAUAUUGCGGUGAAACAGUGCUUAUAAUUACAUGUUUAGUGUUACGUAUAAGACGCCUGCAACUGAAAUCUUAAUCAAAAGUCGUCAAAAUGAGCAAGUUUCUUCCUAUGUUCAAAAAGAAGGGGAAGGGGAAGGAGGAAGAUGUCAUUGAGGAAACAAAGAAGAAGCGAAGCAAAUCACACAAGCUUACCAAAGAAAUCAUCUCAAGUCCGUCCCCUAGUGCUGCGUCCAAGACAGAGAAGAAAAGAAAGACCCCUAAACGCAAGGCCCCUCUUCCACAGGGGAAAGAAAACUACCCGUCAGUAGAGGAGCUGGAGAAAGAAUUCUUUAUAGAUGACAAGGGUGUUGUGCGGGAGUGCCCUUCUGAACUGUAUGUUGAUGCAACUGGUGUAGUGAGAGAGGGACCCAGAGAACUGUUUAUUGAUAAGGCAUUAACUCUAGAGGAUUCCAACCCAGAGACUGUCUCUGACACGUCACAUGAAGACUGUUCACUAGCUAAGGAGAUGCAGGAAAAUGGCUCUCCACAGAGUGAUGAAAAAAAUAAAGACUUAGAGGGACUUCCAACCAAAAAUGACAUAUGUGGUUCAGAUAAUAGUCAUGAAACCUCUUUUGAAGAUCCAGAACAUGAAUCCUCAUUAAAAAAUCAAAAGAACAGUAAAGAUGAAAAGAGUGAUGGUGAUGUUGAAGAGCAAACUAUAAGUCCAGAGAAAAAUGGGGAUGAGUGUGCUGUUACUCUACGAAGUUUUAAAGAAACCCCAACGAAUGAGUCUUCUCUUAGUGCAAAGUUGGCAAGCAGGCUCAGUAUGUCAGAAGAACUACAGUAUUGGCAGGAAGAAGAAGCUGUCAUACUAGAAUGUGAAACUGUAACAGAUUCCACUGAAGAUAUCCAAAAAGAGCCAGAAGUAGAUAACAAAGUAUUAGGAAAUGUUCAUGAGGUUGUUGGUGUAAAUGAGUCUGUAAAUGCCCCCCUUGUCAGUGCACCAGACAUUGCUGAUGAUCAUGUGACAGUGAAAGCAGAGGAAAAGGCUGAGGCAGAAGCCGAGAUUGUAGAGGAGAGCACACUGUCUGUAGCACAUGAAGAUAGUCUAGUGGAAACUUUCUAUACCAACACCGCUGACAGUGAUGACGACUUUGACUCAGCAAAAGAAGACUGGGAUGAUGAAGACAGUGAUGAAAAAGAACCCAAAGAAAAUCAAAGUAACUCACAACUAAAGGAGGACUUUGAACUAUCAAAUGGUAGUGAAGGACUCACAGAAGCUGAAAAUAUAGAAAUGAGAGACAGAUAUGAAGGACAGUGCUCCAGGCAUGCAAGCACCACAUCUUCAAUAUAUCAAGAUGCUGCCAGUAGAGAAAGUUCAUUAUUUGAUAUAGAUUCAAUUAUUGAAGCCACAAAUGAUGGUCAGGGCUCAGUAGAAGGAAAUUUGACUGAAUCAAGUCAACAGGAGAGACUCACACGUAAGGUGUCCAAUGUAUCAGCUUGUUCCAGUGAUAUUUUUAAUGAGGAAUUAGAUGACUUGCUUAAUGAGGAACUAGACAGAUUAUCAGAGGAAGAAACCAGUGCCACCAAUAUGCAGAGCUCUGUUGAUGAAGGGGCCUCUGAAGUACCAAAGGAAGAUUCUAGUCCACAGUACCAAAUGAUAGCACAGGAGAAUUUACCUGAGGUGUCUUAUUCAGAAAAUAAUGAAGUUGCACCAGCAGUAGAGCAAGAAAAUGUUAAAGAUAUUAUCUCAAAGAAGGGAAGUGAGAAAGCAAGUGAAAGAUCAAAUGAGGAAUCCACGGAUGAUAUCCUAACUAGUACACCAGGAGAGAAUGAAUCAGGUGGCUGUAUGACGUCAACUCCCCAACAAGAUAAUAGUUCAAAGCAUAAUGUAGCAGAAGAAAGUGUCACAGGCCCAACAGCACAAGCAUCAGAAGAAGGGCUGGACCAGGCCAAGGACAGUGGGUACUACAGCUUGCCUGUGUCCCCUAAACCCAACACAGUCACAGUGAGUGAGAGGGAGCAAGCAGCACCACCACAGCCCUCAGUUCCCCAGGAGCCACAUAAAGAUAGUGGAGAGGAGGCUCAGGCAGUCUCCACAACUGAGAUGACAGUAUCCACAUCUGUGUUAGAGACACCACAAGUGCAAAAGUCCUUAUUGGAAGACUCGGUGCCAGACCAAACAGAUGCAAGUGUGCCAACUGAACUCUCCCUGUCGUGUGCUGCUCCUGUGGAAGGUGAGGAGGAUCCUUCUGUUAUUGAAGUUAAUGAAUCGACUGCAUCGGUGGAGGAUAAAACUGAAGAAAACUCAAAAAUGUCUCAAAAGAUGGAUGAAAUGAAAAGACCUACGCUAGAAAAAUUUAAAACCCCUCCACCUGACCUAAAGGGCAUGGCAUCUUCACCAGGUCUUGGUGGCCCUGUUCCAGGUAGACAUGCUAGGUACAAGUCACCAGGUUUUGGUUGUGAGGGUGGCAGACAUGGUGAUGAGAAAAUAUUGAGUCCUGAUCCUGUGGGAGACAUGUUUCUACGGCAGGCUGUGUGUAUGUCCCAUGAAGAAGCCGAGGCGCGGUUAGCCCAGCGGCGCGCAGCAAGAGCCGAGGCGAGGGAGCUGAGGUUACGGGAGCUUGAAAGGCAACAGCAUGAACAAGAAAAUGAUGAAGAGAAGCAGUUUGCCUCUCCAUCAUACACAGAUGAUGAUGACUGCGAAGAUGAUGAGUGUGAUGAGGAGGAAGAGCCUGUGUCACGGGCAGGGCUGGGGAGAGCUGCUGCCCGAUCAUCUGGCAUGAACUGCACUGGCCAGUACUCCCGCAGGUCCUCUGAAGACUCCACCACCGAUGAGGCAGCACUCCCGGCCAAUGUUAGAGAGAUGAGGGCGGAGUUGAAGGAGCUGGAUGAGAAGUUCCGCAAGGCCAUGAUCACCAAUGCACAACUUGAUAAUGAGAAGGCAACACUAACAUUUGAAGUUGAAUUAAUGAAAGACAGGUACACAGAACUAGAAGAAGCACACACACAGCUAACGAAAGAACACCGGAAGAAAUGUACUGAAUAUGAACAGUUGAGAAAGGUGUCGACAAAGUUACAGGAAGAAGUCAAAAUAUUGCGUGGCAUGUUACAAGAACGAGAUCAGUUAAUACAGGAAUAUGGCUUAGUUGUUAUGGGUGAAGAGGAGAAUGGUGAUGAUACAGACCACAUAGAGGAAGAUGAUGAUGUAGACGACCUAUCUCCGAGGAAGCUGUCCGUGAAGAAAGUGUUGGUGUCACAGGAGGCUGCUGAGCUGCUUUCAAAGGGUGCAGCUAAAGGCUCAUUAGAUGUAAGGUUAAGGAAAUUUGGUGAGGAGAAAAAUGAUCUAGAAGACCAAGUUAGAAGACUGAAGCUUGAACUUGAAGAAGAAAGAAACAAGAACAGAAGAAGAGAGAACGGCUUAGAUUAUGAGAAGCAAAGUGGUGAGACUGGAUGCUCUCUUAACUCGAUAUAAAACCCAAUCUGAAGAACUGGAAUCAAGUGAAGAGGAACUAAAGUUAGAGAAACGGAAACUGCAGAGAGAGUUAAGGGAUGCUCAGAGUAGAUUAGAAGAACUGGAAACUACA